CUAUUGGCGCCGUGUCUUGCCAUUUGUGUGAGCUAUCUUACUUUGCCUUUCUAGUGCUUGCGUGAUGUUACCUGACCUAUGGGUAUUGGUGCUUCAUACAUAGUUGCCUCGUGGUGGACGCCUUUGGGUGUGCUGCUGCGGCCAUAUGGCGAUUGCGGCGUUGCCUCGUGGUGCUGGUUCUCGUGCCCGGUGCUAUCAAGGCAGCCUUGCUCUCGCUAUUGGUUUUGGAUGUUGCUCAUGAUAUAUAGCCUCGUGGCCCAUUUGGUUGCCUUUGGGGCCUGACCCUAAGAACGCUCUCCGACUUUGAGAACAUCGUUGAACGAAUGUUGCCUCUACCUUUCCACAGCAAGUGGUAAGAUUACACAGCAUACUCGAUUCCGAUCCCCAAAUAAGUCGGACGAGCAAGACCCUAAGAACGCUCUCCGACUUUGAGAACAUCGUUGAACGAAUGUUGCCUCUACCUUUCCACAGCAAGUGGUAGGAUUACGCAGCAUACUCGAUUCCGAUCCCCAAAUAAGUUGGACGAGCUUGGCCCGCUCAACAGCGACAACCGGCCCGACU
rnacentral:misc_RNA from 1 species